rnacentral:tRNA from 2 species
AUCUAUGUAGUUUAUAAAAACAUUUUAUUUUCAUUAAAAAAAUGAUUAAUCGAAAUCUAUAGAUA